AACGAACGCUGGCGGCAGGCCUAACACAUGCAAGUCGAACGCACCGCAAGGUGAGUGGCGCACGGGUGAGUAACACGUGGGAAUGUAUCCUUUGGUUCGGAAUAACGUCUGGAAACGGACGCUAAUACCGGAUGAGCCCUAUGGGGGAAAGAUUUAUCGGCAAAGGAUCGGCCCGCGUUGGAUUAGCUAGUUGGUGGGGUAAUGGCCUACCAAGGCGACGAUCCAUAGCUGGUCUGAGAGGAUGAUCAGCCACAUUGGGACUGAGACACGGCCCAAACUCCUACGGGAGGCAGCAGUGGGGAAUAUUGGACAAUGGGCGCAAGCCUGAUCCAGCCAUGCCGCGUGAGUGAUGAAGGCCUUAGGGUUGUAAAGCUCUUUCACCGGAGAAGAUAAUGACGGUAUCCGGAGAAGAAGCCCCGGCUAACUUCGUGCCAGCCGCCGCGGUAAAAC
rnacentral:rRNA from 1 species